rnacentral:rRNA from 1 species
UGGGGAAUAUUGCACAAUGGGCGCAAGCCUGAUGCAGCCAUGCCGCGUGUGUGAAGAAGGCCUUCGGGUUGUAAAGCACUUUCAGCGAGGAGGAAGGUGGUGAGCUUAAUACGCUCAUCAAUUGACGUUACUCGCAGAAGAAGCACCGGCUAACUCCGUGCCAGCAGCCGCGGUAAUACGGAGGGUGCAAGCGUUAAUCGGAAUUACUGGGCGUAAAGCGCACGCAGGCGGUUUGUUAAGUCAGAUGUGAAAUCCCCGGGCUCAACCUGGGAACUGCAUUUGAAACUGGCAAGCUAGAGUCUCGUAGAGGGGGGUAGAAUUCCAGGUGUAGCGGUGAAAUGCGUAGAGAUCUGGAGGAAUACCGGUGGCGAAGGCGGCCCCCCUGGACGAAGACUGACGCUCAGGUGCGAAAGCGUGGGGCAGCAAACAGGAUUAGAUACCCUGGUAGUCCACGCUGUAAACGAUGUCGAUUUGGAGGUUGUGCCCCUUGAGGCGUGGCUUCCGGAGCUAACGCGUUAAAUCGACCGCCUGGGGAGUACGGCCGCAAGGUUAAAACUCAAAUGAAUUG